rnacentral:lncRNA from 1 species
ACCCUGCUCAGUGUGCUCUUGUUGCUUUUAUCUGUGCAUGCAGCCUUUUCACUCCAGAUCUUGAGGUCACUUUCGUUUAUAACCUCAAGAGGACUUUAAGUCUUCCUCUGUCUCACAUCAGAGAAAGGCCUUCGCGACCACCUAAGAAUGAAGAAUAAUGAAGAGGCAUGAUCUUUAUCAAACGUGAUUUAUUUCUCAGCCAUAUGGAUAGUAUUCUCACUGUGGAAGUUAUUUGAUAUCAAUGAUUUGGGUCAUACAAAAUGUUCUAUGGUAC